AUUUAACGCUGGCGGCAGGCCUAACACAUGCAAGUCGAACGAGUGGCGGACGGGUUAGUAAUGUCUUGGAAACUGCCUGAUGGAGGGGGAUAACUACUGGAAACGGUAGCUAAUAACGCAUACCAUCAGAUGUGCCCAGGUGGGAUUAGCUAGUUGGUGGGGUAACGGCUCACCAAGGCGACGAUCCCUAGACGGUCUGAGAGGAUGACCAUCCACACGGGAACUGAGCCACGGUCCGUACUCCUACGGUAGGCAGCAGUGGGGAAUAUUGCACAAUGGGCGCAAGCCUGAUGCAGCCAUGCCGCGUGUAUGAAGAAGGCCUUCGGGUUGUAAAGUACUUUCAGCGGGGAGGCGUUACCCGCAGAAGAAGCACCGGCUAACUCCGUGCCAGCAGCCGCGGUAAUAC
rnacentral:rRNA from 1 species